rnacentral:rRNA from 1 species
CAGCCGCCACGGUAAUACGUAGGGUGCGAGCGUUAAUCGGAAUUACUGGGCGUAGAGCGUGCGCAGGCGGUUGUGUAAGACAGGUGUGAAGUCCCCGGGCUUAACCUGGGAACUGCGCUUGUGACUGCACAGCUAGAGUAUGGCAGAGGGGGGUGGAAUUCCACGUGUAGCAGUGAAGUGCGUAGAGAUGUGGAGGAACACCGAUGGCGAAGGCAGCCCCCUGGGCCAAUACUGACGCUCAUGCACGAAAGCGUGGGGAGCAAACAGGAUUAGAUACCCGCGUAGUCCCUGUCUCUUAUAC